GAUGAACGCUGACAGAAUGCUUAAAACAUCAGCAAUUGAUUGGUGGCGGCCGGGUGAGUAACGCGUAAAGAACUUACCACACCGUUAGGGCCAACAUCUGGAAACGAAUACUAAUACCUAAUACCGUGAUAGAGCUUUACGUCCCAUUCGCGAGUUGGAGAGGUAACGGCCCACCAAGGCGAUGCAGGGUAGCCGGCCUGGGAGGGUGAUCGGCCACUAGGGGGCUGAGACACGGACCUUACUUCGACGGGAGGCAGCAGUGGGGAAGAUUGGACAAGUGACCAAAGUCUGAUACAGGAAUUCUAGGUGCACGAUGAAGUUAUCGUAAUGUAAAGUGCUUUCAGUUGUAAAGCGGGACCAACAGAAGAAGUGACGUCUAAAUACGCGCCAGCAGCCGCGGUAAUUC
rnacentral:rRNA from 1 species